rnacentral:lncRNA from 1 species
UGUGCAUGACAGCGACCACAAUCGAGAAAAAGAGACCAAAGACACCCACGCAGGCGAACAAGAGGUGGUCGGGACUGGGCAGCGGUCCCGACGUCUCCAUCGCGAGGGCGCACCGGCAGACGCAAUGGGCUCGGAGGCGCGACCUGGCGAUGUGGCCUUUGGCCGCUUGCCCGGCAGAGUCCUGGCACGGGCAUCGGCAGACCGACAGAUCGGACGGAUGCGCCGGUUGAUCGUCGAGAGCCACCCAAGCCAUGCCGGGCGGCGGCAUCGGGCUGGACGCAAGCGCCGAAGACGCCUGGGGCGGAGCCGGCUUGUAGACCAAGGGCGAGAGUAUGGCGAGCCACACGACAAAGAGCGCCGAUAAGACAGCCACCUCUCGCCACCCUAUCUUGCUGGCGGGUCGGGCGUCGUGCAAACCCCGCUGGCGCAUGGGCGGUGCCGUCGGCCUAGGAACGUCGUCUUUGGAUGCGAUCGCAUCGUCGGCGACCGUGGCGGGCUCGUUCUUAUUGUGAACGCGUCUGUCGGUGCAGUCCAUCUGGCGUUGGCUUGUGCGGUGGCCUUUUGUUGUUUGUCCUGUUUUUGCGUGCGGGCGACUGGAUGGUCGGCAGGGGUUUGUUCGCGUCGCGGGUGGUUUCCGGUCGGGGUUGAUGCUGCGCGGCACUCGUGAUGGAGGAAUACGGUCUCUGCCCGUGGGCCUUUUGUGGCCGAUGCGUAUACCGCCAUUGGCUGUUGCCCAGUAACAAAAAAGAAAAAGAAAAAUCAAACACGCG